rnacentral:rRNA from 1 species
GAUGAACGCUGGCGGCGUGCCUAAUACAUGCAAGUCGAGCGAACGGACGCGAGGCUUCUGUCUCUGAUGUUAGCGGCGGACGGGUGAGUAACACGUGGAUAACCUACCUAUCAGACUGGGAUAACUUCGGGAAACCGGAGCUAAUACCGGAUGAUAUUUUGAACCGCAUGGUUCAAAAGUGAAAGACGGUCUUGCGGUCACUUAUAGAUGGGUCCGCGCUGCAUUAGCUGGUUGGUAAGGUAACGGCUUACCAAGGCAACGAUGCAUAGCCGACCUGAGAGGGUGAUAGGCCACACUGGAACUGGGACAGGGUCCAGGCUCCUACGGGAGGGACCAGUCGGGAACCUGCGGCAAUGGGCGGAGACAUGACAGAGCAACGGCGCGUGAGUGAUGAAGGUCUUCGGAUCGUAAAACUCUGUUAUUAGGGAAGAACAUAUGUGUACGGAACUGUACACAUAUUGACGGUACCUAAUCAGAAAGCCCCGGCUAACUACGUG